rnacentral:rRNA from 1 species
UACGUAGGGUGCGAGCGUUAAUCGGAAUUACUGGGCGUAAAGCGUGCGCAGGCGGUUUUUUAAGCCAGUUGUGAAAUCCCCGGGCUUAACCUGGGAAUGGCAUUUGGGACUGCAAGGCUGGAGUUUGGCAGAGGAGACUGGAAUUCCUGGUGUAGCAGUGAAAUGCGUAGAUAUUGGGAAGAACACCAGUGGCGAAAGCGGACUUCUGGGUUGUUACUGACGCUGAGGUACGAAAGCGUGGGGAGCAAACGGG